rnacentral:rRNA from 1 species
GUGGGGAAUUUUGGACAAUGGGGGCAACCCUGAUCCAGCAAUGCCGCGUGCAGGAAGAAGGCCUUCGGGUUGUAAACUGCUUUUGUACGGAACGAAACGGUCCUGGUUAAUACCUGGGGCUAAUGACGGUACCGUAAGAAUAAGCACCGGCUAACUACGUGCCAGCAGCCGCGGUAAUACGUAGGGUGCAAGCGUUAAUCGGAAUUACUGGGCGUAAAGCGUGCGCAGGCGGUUUUGUAAGACAGGCGUGAAAUCCCCGGGCUCAACCUGGGAAUGGCGCUUGUGACUGCAAGGCUGGAGUGCGGCAGAGGGGGAUGGAAUUCCGCGUGUAGCAGUGAAAUGCGUAGAUAUGCGGAGGAACACCGAUGGCGAAGGCAAUCCCCUGGGCCUGCACUGACGCUCAUGCACGAAAGCGUGGGGAGCAAACAGGAUUAGAUACCCUAGUAGUCC